rnacentral:rRNA from 1 species
AACGAACGCUGGCGGCAUGCCUAACACAUGCAAGUCGAACGGAUGGUCGCAAGACCAUUAGUGGCGGACGGGUGCGUAACGCGUGGGAACCUGCCUUGAAGUUCGGAAUAACUGCGGGAAACUGCAGCUAAUACCGGAUGUGGCCUGCGGGCCAAAGGGGAAACUCGCUUCAAGAGGGGCCCGCGUCCGAUUAGCUAGUUGGCGGGGUAACGGCCCACCAAGGCGAUGAUCGGUAGCUGGCUGAGAGGACGACCAGCCACACUGGAACUGAGAUACGGUCCAGACUCCUACGGGAGGCAGCAGUGGGGAAUAUUGGACAAUGGGGGCAACCCUGAUCCAGCAAUGCCGCGUGAGUGAUGAAGGCCUUC